AUUACUAGUGAUCGUAUCUAUAACACACCGCACACAUAAGAAGUGGGAGAAACGCAAAGCUCAUGUAGCAGCAAAGAAGGUGGAAGCAGAGAAGGUUUAGGUGGGCCAGAGUAUUGAAGAAGAAGCAGUCACAGAAGGACGAAGAGGACGUACGGGUUACCAUGAGACCCACCAGCCAUCCGAUUCGCGAGCGAGGGUUGGGUCAAGCCCUGAUGAUGCAUGUGGCCGGGUAACGGAACAGAAUGGGGAGUACCCUGGCAAGGGCGAAUUGUUCCUCCUCCUGUGUAUCACCUUCCUUCUCCGAUCCACCAUAUUCAAGUAAUUGGUGCUUCGGGUCUGGUAUGGAAGUGGUGCUUAUAGUCUAGUCUGUUACAGUAUCUGUCUGUACCUCGUCAUAUUUUGGCUGGUUCAAGCUGUGUGGGUGGAAAACCUAAUCAAACAGGUGAAAGAUUGAUUGCAGUGUCUAUUGCAGUGCAUUGUGCUCCAACAACUUAAACAACAUAAUCCUUAUCCCGUGAAAGUAAUCUUGGUGCAAAACAAAAUGUGCAAUAGUGUAUUCCAUGACAAUUGUGUUUCAGUAUCAGCUCUUUUUGUUCGGCACGAAACAAAUCUAUUUAUAUAUAAAAAGUAUUUGAUGGGUUAAUCAAAGGAAAGAUAAAUAAUCUAGAAAUUAUCACAAUAAUUGGAAAUAUCUGGUCGUUGAUUUGAUGAACGCUUUACUUAAAAGACGUAAUUAACGGACAAGAUCUAGGAACUUAAGUAGAAAAAAAAACAAAGAGGGAUGGUAUUGCCAAACAGUAUUAGCACAUUGAUCGAUCUAAUUUCUACUCCUGAUGGAGCAGUUGGUGAAUAGUCUGUGCGGUUUAUUUUCGCUGGUUUAUUUUCGUCACCCCAUCAUCGUUUUUUUUUUGUCAUCAUCCCAUCUCUAUCAAAAAACCUUUGCCAAAAAAAACCCUCAUGCUCAGAGCAGAUCGAUCUCCGCCGCCGACCAGACCUUCGCACGCCCGAUCUCACGCCCCAUAGCAGGAGGCGGCUAUCUGCUGUGGGAUCGGGCGAGGUGACGCCGGCGAUCACGACCCUGAUCCGACGGCGACCCCCUUCUGCUCUUCUCCCUCUCCUCUAGGGUUUUGGUGCCGCCAUCUCCGCACUUCCAGAAAGAGAUCGGGAGAGGCUGAGCCCAGAGCUAGAUGAAGGAGAAGAGAAUGUCCAUGGAUCAUUAAGGGGCGGCGGCGACACAAGGCUGAUGAAGGUGUUUGUAGGUGGCCUGGCGUGGGAGACGAGCAAGGAGGGCGUGCGCGUCCACUUCGAGCGCUUCAGCGAGAUCCUCGAGGCCGUCGUCAUCGCCGACAAGGGCACCGGCAGAUCCAAGGGCAGCUGAUUCUCCUGUUAGUUGAUGCUAUGCCUGAAUGGAUGCUUGGUAAGUUACGUUCUGGAGGCGGAGGCGGCCAUCAAGACAUGGUGAAUGGCGUCCAGAGGGCCAACUGCGACCUAGCUCGCCUACCUUGGGAUCCAGAGGUCCAAGGCACCACAACCAACUGCCUCUGCAUCCAUAUUCUGGUUUAUUUCAGUUUAGUGUGGUAAUCGGCAACAACCAAGUUAACAAAUCUUAACUGAAGUAUGUGUUUUAAAUCUUCGGUGGUGAUUUUUUUCUUGGUGGUGUAGCAAGCAAGCAAGAAUUGGAGAGUCUUCGGUGCAUGCUUGGAGAAGAGGCUAAGAUGAGAGGCUUCAAUCUGGAGAUGACAAUGAUAGUCACCUGGUGCAACUAAAGGUUCGGUUUCAUACUUGUGAAGUUGUGAUGAUAUUGUUCAGGUAGUACUCCCUGACUGAUUUCACUUGUACUAUUUCUUCACAGAAGGUACUAAAAUAUCUUGUCAUACUAAUAUUUAAUUUCUACUGAUACU